GCAUGCUAUCUCUAUGAAGAUGAUUCUAAUUCGUCUGAAAUUAUUAAUUUUAGUAGCUGGAACACGAAAUAGAUGUUGUGGAUUAAAAAUGGAACUAUGAUUCAUACUCAUUAUUAAGACCUCGCAAACAAACUGAAAAAUCCAAGUAGUUCUGAAAUAAAAAUUAAAAAGAAUUUUCUUCCUUCCAAUUUUGUUUGCCCAAAGGACAACUGUUUUCUCUCUUGA
rnacentral:rRNA from 1 species